rnacentral:rRNA from 1 species
GACGAACGCUGGCGGCGUGCCUAACACAUGCAAGUCGAACGCAGUUGCGAACGGGUGAGUAACGCGUAGGUAACUGCCUCAUAGCGGGGGGUAACCAUCGGAAACGAUAGCUAAUACCGCAUACUUUGAGAUGGACCUGCGUUGGAUUAGCUAGUGGGUGCGGUAAAGGCGCACCAAGGUCACGAUACAUAGCUGGCCUGAGAGGAUGACCAGCCACACUGGACCGGAAAAAGGGACAAGAUCCUUCGGGGGGGAACAGGAGGGGAACAUCGGCAAAGGGGGGAAAUCUGGCUGAAGAAAGGCGGGGGGUAGGAAGAAGGUCUCGGGGCGUUAAAGUACGUUGAGAGGGAAGCGGUACCCACAGAAGAAGCACCGGCUAACUACGUGCCAGCAGCCGCGGUAAUAC